GCAUCACAUCAACACGCACACAUCAAACACACACACACAACAUUACACACACACAUCACACACACAUGACAUACACACACACGUCACACACAUACACACAUACACACAUAUCACACACACACACGCACACACAUAUCACACACACACACACAUAUAUUAUAUCGCAUACACACAUAUCACAUACACACACACAGCUCACACACAUCACACACACCCACACAAACACACACACAUCAGACACACAGACACAC
rnacentral:lncRNA from 1 species